rnacentral:rRNA from 1 species
GACGAACGCUGGCGGCGUGCUUAACACAUGCAAGUCGAACGAUGAAGCCUAGCUUGCUAGGUGGAUUAGUGGCGCACGGGUGAGUAAUACGUGAGUGACCUACCUUUGACUCUGGGAUAAGCCUGGGAAACUGGGUCUAAUACCGGAUACGACCAAUCUCCGCAUGGGGUGUUGGUGGAAAGCGUUAUGGAGUGGUUUUAGAUGGGCUCACGGCCUAUCAGCUUGUUGGUGAGGUAAUGGCUUACCAAGGCGACGACGGGUAGCCGGCCUGAGAGGGUGACCGGCCACACUGGGACUGAGACACGGCCCAGACUCCUACGGGAGGCAGCAGUGGGGAAUAUUGCACAAUGGGCGCAAGCCUGAUGCAGCGACGCCGCGUGAGGGAUGACGGCCUUCGGGUUGUAAACCUCUGUUAGCAUCGAAGAAGCGAAAGUGACGGUAGGUGCAGAGAAAGCGCCGGCUAACUACGUG